AAUUUAUACAGAGUCAUGGUCUCUGCUGCAAAUCCUCAAAGAGAACACAAUAAAUGGCAUAAACAGAACCGGGGGCCAGUAUCUCCUGUUCUGUGUGAUACCGCCAUGAAUUGUAGUGGGUCACUCCAAUUUGAGGGGGUAGGUUUGAAAAAACAAGCAAAAUCUGUCAUUCUGAAUGAAUGACAGAACCUCAUCACCAGUAAGGAAUCGAUGGCAUAAUCCAGAUGAGAAAUGUUAAUAACUUGGACUAGAGUGGCAGCAAUAGAGAUUGAAUUUGGGAUAUAGGCCACAAAGAUAUAUUGCUGGG